rnacentral:rRNA from 1 species
UACGUAGGGUGCGAGCGUUUGUCCGGAAUUACUGGGCGUAAAGAGCUCGUAGGUGGUUUGUCGCGUUUGUUCGUGAAAACCGGGGGCUUAACCCUCGGCGUGCGGGCGAUACGGGCAGACUUGAGUACUGCAGGGGAGACUGGAAUUCCUGGUGUAGCGGUGGAAUGCGCAGAUAUCAGGAGGAACACCGGUGGCGAAGGCGGAUCUCUGGGCCUUACCUGACGCUGAGGCGCGAAAAGCUAGGGGGAGCGAACAGG